rnacentral:rRNA from 2 species
ACAUGCAAGUCGAGCGCGGGAAGCGAGUGGAUCCCUUCGGGGUGAAGCUCGUGGAACGAGCGGCGGACGGGUGAGUAACACGUGGGCAACCUGCCUGUAAGAUCGGAAUAACCCCGGGAAACCGGGGCUAAUGCCGGGUAAUACUUUCUUUCGCAUGAAGGAAAGUUGAAAGAUGGCUUCUCGCUAUCACUUACAGAUGGGCCCGCGGCGCAUUAGCUAGUUGGUGAGGUAACGGCUCACCAAGGCGACGAUGCGUAGCCGACCUGAGAGGGUGAUCGGCCACACUGGGACUGAGACACGGCCCAGACUCCUACGGGAGGCAGCAGUAGGGAAUCUUCCGCAAUGGACGAAAGUCUGACGGAGCAACGCCGCGUGAACGAUGAAGGUCUUCGGAUCGUAAAGUUCUGUUGUUAGGGAAGAACAAGUACCGUGCGAAUAGAGCGGUACCUUGACGGUACCUAACGAGGAAGCCCCGGCUAACUACGUGCCAGCAGCCGCGGUAAUACGUAGGGGGCAAGCGUUGUCCGGAAUUAUUGGGCGUAAAGCGCGCGCAGGCGG